AUGCUCGCCGCGGCAUGAAUAACAGACUCCCUGCUCACUUUCGAGCUGCAUCUGCGGCGUGGACAUCAGAGCAUGCUGCAGGAGAAAUUCCAAAUGUCGGUGCCCCGAGAGGGGGCCAUCCAUUACUCAGCAACUCCAGCUUUGACACGCAGCUGCAGUGACACACCCGACUUUCUUUGAAAAAAUCUCCUGCUACCAGGGGGUCCAGGCUUGCAAGGGGGAGUGAAUAUUGCAGAAUGGAUGUGUCUUCGGUGGGUGGAGAAGGAGAUCAGUUUCCAGUUUCCACUGAAGAACAUUCAGUUGGCAAUCUCCCUGAUACAGCUCUGCAGAUGCUACCAUGACACCAGACUUUCCUGGGCAGAUGACCUCACCAAUGUGUGCUGGAACCCCACCUCCCCAGAGCCCUGCCCCACUAGGGAAAAAUAGAAGCAGGCUGUGGGUAUGGAUCGACCUGUCAACGCCCAUGUCCUACAGAGAAGCAAUUACAGAAGCCAGACUUUCUACCUUCUGCACCCCAUAAAAAUCUUUGGUACAUACUUCCAGAGAAAGAAUGAAUAGGGAAACUUCCCAGGGCCAGUCAGUAGCACACCAUUUUAAGCGCACAUAGCACGAAGCACAAGGACUUGCAUAAGGAUCUGGGUUCGAGCCCUCGGCUCCCCAGCUUGGGGGGGGCACUUCACAGGCAAUAAAGAAGGUCUACAGAUGCCUAUCUUUCUCUCUCCCUCUCUUCCUCCCCCUCCUCUCUCAAUUUCUCUUUAUCCUAUCUAAUAAGAAAAAACAGUCACCAGGAGCAAUGGAUUCACAGUGCUGGCACCAAGCCCUAGCAAUAACCCUGGAGGCAAAAAGAAAAAAAAGUGAAAUAACCCUCUGAACAUCUUAA